rnacentral:rRNA from 1 species
UACGUAGGGUGCGAGCGUUGUCCGGAAUUAUUGGGCGUAAAGAGCUUGUAGGCGGUUUGUCGCGUCUGCUGUGAAAUCUCAAGGCUCAACCUUGAGCUUGCAGUGGGUACGGGCAGGCUAGAGUUCGGUAGGGGAGAUCGGAAUUCCUGGUGUAGCGGUGAAAUGCGCAGAUAUCUGGAGGAACACCGGUGGCGAAGGCGGCAUCCUGGACCGACACUGACGCUGAGGCGCGAAAGCUAGGGUAGCAAACGGG